AAUCUGAUCAGAAUCUCUGGCUGCAUCCUACGUCAGUGCCUACAGUAGGCCUAAUCCAAAUCGUGAAUGGGCAAGAAUGACAGUCUUUUCAAUCUGCUCAAGGUGACAAAUUCCUUCUUGGCUAUGCUUCAAGAGAAGAUGAAGAAAUAGCUGUUCUUAGAGAGGUUCGGGAUGAUAUAAAAAAUGACACUGAAUUCAAAUCUUGUGAUGUUUCUAUUAGAAUAUGUGUCACACUAAAGAAAUAGUGUAACACCAAGUGAAUAGUGUAACACUAAAUAAACUGAACACCAUCAACUAUGGACUGUACUUU
rnacentral:lncRNA from 1 species